CCGUUUAAUUCGUUAAAAGGUUCUAUUUUUAAUAAAUCAGUUACUAUAAAAUUAUACCAAAAGGAUUCCUUUGAAUAGUGAACCUUUUUGCAUUGUUUUAUAUUUAACAUUAAAAUUAAUAUUUAGUUAAGACUACUGUAAGUUUUAAAGUUCCUCCAUAAGACAGGCUAAUACUAUUUAAGAUGUAUUUGAAUCGAACUGUUUCAUAUUAUUCCACUAUAUCAUAACAUAAUUAUAGUAACGUUUUUGUUUUAUAAUAUGUUUUCAUUUUUAUCAGUUUGAGGACGCCCCAAUUCAGGCAAAAAUAGUUGAAGUCGCCCCCCUUUCCACACCUACCGCCACCCUCCCAUUAUUAAUGACUGGUCCCUAAGCAAAUUAUUUUUCUAACAUGACUAGAAAUCUAUUUAUUUUACUUCCUUUGUAAUUUCCAUAUCACGUUGAAAUAGUAUGGUUUCAACUGUAAACAGUGAAUUAUCAGCCUAACUAGCCUAGUCCCAGACUCUCUCUCUAUUCGCUGCUUUGAUAUAUUUAAAUAAGUCUUAAAAGUUUUAUGCCUGGGUGUGCUGUGCGGAACGCUUCAGCGAGAGGGCUUAUAGCGGAUUUCGGUAAAAUGGUCCCUGAUUUCAAAAAAGCGGUCCCUGUCCUGCUAACCAAGCAUACCGCAUUUGUAAAUAGAAAAUGUUAUGGAAAUUUCCUUUGCGUUUAUAAUUAAGUCAUUAGUUCUGCUCUAAUGCUGUCGGAACAAUGAAAUAGGCUACGUUUCGCUACCAUACGGUCAGAAUGGAAUAACGGGCUAAAUACGACUUGUGCAUGUUUACUAAAAUAUAAAGUCAUAUUAAAUUAUAUCUAGAAGCUUGAAAAUUAUGCCGAGCCUCCGACUAAAAAUGUUUUGACAACACAGUCAUGUCAGGCAAAUAUUUCCAAUCUCCUCAGCUACUUAAAACUGUCAAGUAGAAAGCGUAGCUGCAUGUGUAUACCAGUAUCAUGGUCUAGUGUUGAUCACAACUUGCAAGUAUAUAAAUAUCAUCAACGAUUAUACGCCCAUUGCUCAGACUCAGUAUCGUAAAUUUGUAUAUAUUUUUUACAACAUGAGCUCCACCUUUGAAUUUACUAUAUGAGUAAAUUCUUAAACACGUCCGAAUUUAUCAUUAUGAUAAAUUCGCGGCACAUUUUGAA